GUAGAGGUGUCAGAGUGGCCGAAUGUGCCGGUCUCGAAAACCGGUGUGCAGAAAUGCACCGAGGGUUCAAAUCCCUCCCUCUACGCCA
rnacentral:tRNA from 1 species